rnacentral:rRNA from 1 species
UACGUAGGUGGCAAGCGUUGUCCGGAUUUACUGGGCGUAAAGAGCGCGCAGGCGGUCGAUCAAGUCGCGUGUGAAAGCCCCCGGCUCAACUGGGGAGGGUCACGCGAUACUGAUCGACUCGAAGGCAGGAGAGGGUAGUGGAAUUCCCGGUGUAGUGGUGAAAUGCGUAGAUAUCGGGAGGAACACCAGUGGCGAAGGCGGCUUCCUGGCCUGUUCUUGACGCUGAGGCGCGAAAGCUAGGGGAGCAAACGGG